UACGUAGGGCGCAAGCGUUAUCCGGAAUUAUUGGGCGUAAAGAGCUCGUAGGCGGUUUGUCGCGUCUGCCGUGAAAGUCCGGGGCUCAACUCCGGAUCUGCGGUGGGUACGGGCAGACUAGAGUGCAGUAGGGGAGACUGGAAUUCCUGGUGUAGCGGUGAAAUGCGCAGAUAUCGGGAGGAACACCGGUGGCGAAGGCGGCGAUCUGGGUAGAUACUGACGCUGAGGUGCGAAAGCGUGGGGAGCAAACAGG
rnacentral:rRNA from 1 species